AUCCUCAGGUUCAUAAGUGUGAUGAUUGGGUGUUCAUGCUCCAUGCAUGACAUGUGCCUCCUCUGAACCUUGUUACGAUUCUCAGCACAUUACCCAUCUGACG
rnacentral:snoRNA from 1 species